rnacentral:rRNA from 1 species
AUUGAACGCUAGCGGCAUGCUUAACACAUGCAAGUCGAACGGCAGCGCGAGGAGCUUGCUCCUUGGCGGCGAGUGGCGGACGGGUGAGUAAUGCGUAGGAAUCUGCCUCGUAGUGGGGGACAACCCGGGGAAACUCGGGCUAAUACCGCAUAAUCUCUACGGAGCAAAGAGGGGACCUUCGGGCCUCUCGCUGUGAGAUGAGCCUACGUCGGAUUAGCUUGUUGGUGGGGUAAAGGCCUACCAAGGCGACGAUCCGUAGCUGGUCUGAGAGGACGAUCAGCCACACUGGGACUGAGACACGGCCCAGACUCCUACGGGAGGCAGCAGUGGGGAAUAUUGGACAAUGGGGGCAACCCUGAUCCAGCAAUGCCGCGUGUGUGAAGAAGGCCUUCGGGUUGUAAAGCACUUUCAGUGGGGAAAAAAUACUUAAGGUUAAUAUCCUUAAGGGCUGACAUUACCCACAGAAGAAGCACUGGCUAACUCUGUG